CAUCGGCAAGAGAAAUCAACAAUAUAGCGUUAGAGAUGAGUUGUAUAGGGGAUUCGCAAUGUUUUUCACACUGAUAAUGGGAUAUAUUCGCAACCGUGAAGAUAUUGAGGGCGAUGAAAAGGGAGUCUGAAAUAUUAUAUACAUCUCACAUUACAAAAUCAAAGUAGCCUACCUUGGGUGGUUGGCAUAGGCACUCUUGCAACAUUCGUCUGUCUCUAAACGGCAAGUCGCUAAAAAGACCGUACACUUCCUGGAGGUUUAGAGUAACGUAAAAUAGCUUUAAAUUUAUUAUAAAUAUACCGCUAUUCGGUAAAUAUUAUUCAUGGAACUAUACAAGUGCCGAUCGUGCGUUUUGAAUAGAAACGAGGAUUAUUUUUCAACUUCUAUCGUGAUAUACCACUGCCAUCUACGUCAACACUCAAGAACUGGUGUUCCCUAUAUAUACUAUUGCCAACUGGAUUUAUGCACAAAAUUUUCUCAUCAUACAAAAC